CGACUGUUUUCCAAAAACAUAGCUUCCAGAAAUAAUUAGAAGUAAAAUCCUGCCCGGUGAAACCAGAUUUUAAACGGCCACAAUCGUGCUAAGGUAGCGUAAUCAGUUGUCCUUUUACUGAGGACUAGUAUGAAAGGAAUAACGAGGCUCAACUGUCUCUAUUAAUAAAAUAAGAAAUUAGUAAUUAGGUGAAAAAACCUAAAUAAAAUUAAAGGACGAGAAGACCCUAUAGAGUUUAAAUAUAAAUAGUUAUUUUUGAAAUUCAGGAACAAAUAACACAAAUAUUUUAAUUGGGGCAACAUAGGAACAAAAAAAUUUCCUUAAAACAAACAUUUAACAUAACAAAAAUAGAAAUCCUCAAAGAGACAAAGAAAAACUACCUUAGGGAUAACAGCGUAAUUUUUCUAGAGAGAUCUAAUCGAAAGAAAAGUUUGCGACCUCGAUGUUGGACUAAGGCACCAAAAUGGCGAAGAAGCUAUUAAAAGUAGGCCUGUUCGGCCCAUUAGCCUUACAUGAUUGUUCAUUCCGUAA
rnacentral:rRNA from 1 species